CAGACGUGCAGAAGUGGCGUUCUAUUCAGAAGGCUUGCAAUGCAGGAUAUGUGCUAUCCAUUAAGUCUUUAUACGCCACUUCAGAGGGCCCUAUGAUUGUCUUUACUGAACCAGUAAAGUCGUCGCUUGCAUAUUGGGUUACGAAGAUGAAAGUGGAACAAAAGCCACUUAUUGAUCCGGCAACUGGUUACAUCACUCCUGCCGUCUGUUCUAUUUACAGGGAUAUUCUCACGUCGAUUAUGCAUGUGCGCAAUUAUACUAAUAAUUGUCAUGGGAAUGUCACCCUGGAGAACAUAUGGCUGAGAAGAGGAAGCACAGUAUUAGGCAGUCCAAAAUGUUUAGAGACUGUAGUCCAGGAUCAGGCUGAAUGUGUUACCGAUACCGACAUGUUUGAACGUGUACUUGACAUCAUUCAUGAUGACUUCUUGCCCAAGGAGCUAGAGUUCUUCUGCAGGAUCUUGCAUGAUGAUGUCGCAUAAGUCACAUAUUAUUAUGAUUAUUAUUAUUAUUGAACUGCCAUGUCAUAUUGUCUUUACUGGUGCUUAGCCCUUUCUUGAAGACACAUACAGAGAAGAUGAGAGACAGGUUUCUGGCUGUGAGUUAUUUUUUGACAGUACCGAUUCUACUACAAGGGCAAAUGCAGUGCAAAUAUAUAAGGGCCAUUGGAAUCUUUUAUUUGCAAAUGAACCCGAAUGUGCAGUGAUGUGGCAUACUAACGUGACAGCCCAUAAUCCUAUUUCUUCUGGCAAAGAUCAUCCUGUUACCAGUGGCGGAGCCAGGAAUCUUACCACAAUGGGUCUUAGCGUAAAAGUCCAAAUAAAAAUUUAGGAUGGAAAAACAUAUUGAAAAUGAAGUCAUAGUACUUUCAUUCAUAAUUCAUAACUGAAACAAUAUUACAAGCUAUAAUUGUCCAC